ensembl:lncRNA
AUCAGUCCUUGCAACAGCUCUGUGGGGUCAGACAAUCUUGAUUUAACAAUCUGGACACUGCUACACUGAGUCACAUGGAUAGGAAAAUGGUUCAGCCAGACUUCAACUCAGAUCUUUUUUUUUUUUUUUAAUUGAAGUAUAUAGUAGAUUUACAAUAUUGUGUUAAUUUCUGCUGUACAGCACAGUGAUUCAGUUAUACAUAUAUGAUGUGGCGUGUGUGUGUCUGGCUCUUUGCAACUUCAUGGACUGUAGCCCUCCAGGCUCCUCUGUCUAUGGGUUCUUCAGGCAAGAAUACUAGAGUGGGUUGCCAUUUCCUUCUCUGGGGGAUCUUCGUGACACAGGGAUUGAACCCGUAUCUCUUAUGUCUCUUGCACUGGCAGGCAGAUUCUUUACCACUUGCGCCACCUGGGAAGCCCUAUACGUGUGUAUAUAUAUAUUCUUUUCUAUAUUCUUUUCCACUAUGGUUUAUCACAGGAUAUAGAAUGUAGUUCCCUGUACUCUACAGUAGGACCUUGUCUAUCCAUCCUAUAUAUAGUGGUUUAUAUCUCCUAAUCCAAGACUCGACUCUAUCCCUCCUCCACUCCCAACUCAGAUCUUUUUUAUUCAGAACUCAUUCUCUAAGCCAGUGGUUCUCAGUGGGGGCAAUUUGACCCCUAAGGACAUUUGGCAGUGUCUGGAGCAAUUUUGGUUGUCACACCUGUGGAGGAGGUACUGGCAUCUAGUGGAUAGAGACCAGGGAUGUUGCUAAGCAUCAUAUAAUGCACACAAUGGCCCUCACAGCAUAGAAUUAUCUGGCUCCAAAAGUAGAUAGUGCUGAGGCAGCGGAAACUUGCCUUAAACUAAUACUACACAAAAUGUGGUUCUUGGACCAACAGCUUCUGAAUCACUUAGAAGCUUGUUAGAAAUGCAGAAUCACAGGCCCCAUACUAGAACUAGUGAACAGAAAGCUCCAGAACUGGGAUCCAGGAAUAUGUGUUUCAACAUGCCUUCUCCAUCCUUCUUGCACACUCAAAUGGGACAAGCUCUGCUGUGAAACCCCAGGCUAUUGUGUGUUAUAUUGAGCUGGACACAAUUGUAUGGUUUCCUCAUCACUUUCAGUGUUCCAUUGUUGAAUAGAAGUUUCUCUUCAGGCAUCCAAAAGGGGAAAGUCUGGCAUUUACUAGGAACAAGUGUGACUCAUGGGGAAAUCAGCACAGUUACAAACCCAGGAACCAUGCCCAGCUGAAAGUCUAGGGGGCUCUUUUUUUCCUGUUUUCUCAGCCUACGGAGGGAAGUCUUGGAGACUCAGUCCAAGUUAAAAAAAAAUGUGAGUCUAAGCACUGGUUUGGUUUGGGGUUUGAUUAUCUAAAAUUAGGCUUGCAAUUGAACUUAGUAAUGACCUGUUGAAGAGGAUAAAAUCCACAAAGUGUUAAAUUGAAAAUUGCAUGAGUUUCUGAUUUACUGACAGUUACCAAACAGAUCUUCAACUCUGUAUGUACAUUUUUUUGGACCAUGAAUUGUUUUUUGGAGAGCCAGUGGAAUCAGUAUUUUGAUCUGGGUCUCUUUUCAGAAAAAUUGCUCAUUACUUGGUAUUUUAUGUGAUUUGUGUGGGGAAUACAUCACAGGCAAGAAUGCAUUGUACAGAAUAAACAUUUCAGGCAAGACCCACAUACAUGUUCAGGUAGUUUGUGCUGCAGUGCCACACCAUUCUCUGCCUCAUUCCUUAAACAACACUGCCAGAACUUAAAAAAUAGCAUUUAUUUAAAAUUUGAAGAAAAACACAGUAUCCUCUAAUUUAGUCAUUAUAUUGAUGGACUCCUUUGAUUUCAGAAAGUUAAAAUUUUUGUAAAACCUUGAGAAGGUUUUCUAACUCGUCUGUUUUUUCCUUCACCAUCUAUAUUAAAGUUUAGAAGAAAUGAGUAUUCUCCUAAAGUAGUCUGUAAAGGUUGGCUGCAUUCAGAUCACUCAGCGUGGUAGACAAAUUCCCUGAUCUGCUUCUCCUGGGUCAAGGAUUGAGUAGCUGGGAUGCUCAGAAACCAUAUAUUUUAAAAAAUGUUUUUGAAGGAUAGUUGCUUUACAAUGUUGUGUCAGUUUCAGGUGUACAGCAAAGUGAAUCAGUUAUGCGUAUACAUAUAUCCACUCUUUUUUAGAGUCUUUUCCCAUAUAGGUCAUUACAGUGUAUUGAGUGAAACUAUAUUUUUUAAAACAGCCAAGUUUAGGAGCCAACACUAGAGUGUGAGUCUUCAGCAUCAAAUGUUUCCUAAUGUGAAGGAAUCAAACUGAUGCAUCUUAGUUAUGGUUAUAUUAUUUUGGUGGCAGAAUAUUUACUGUAAAUAUUUUAUACUGUUGAAUGGUCAAAAGUAAAAAUCAUUAAACCUAUAGGCUAACAUAUAUAUAGAAGUUCAAUAAAAAGCAUGUUAGUCACUCAGUCAUGUCUGACUCUUUGCAACCCCAUGGACUGUAGCCUGCCAGGCUCCUCUGUCCAUGGGAUUCUCUAGGCAAGAAUAAUGGAAGGGGUUGCCAUUUCCUUCUGCAGGGGAUCUUCCUCACCCAGGGAUCAAACCACGGUCUCCUGUAUUGCAGGUGGGCUCUUUACUGUCUGAGCCACCAGGGAAGCCCAGAAGUUCAAAAAGUUCAAUAAGGAUAAAUGCUUAUUGAGUAGAGGA